GUGGGUGUGCCGAAGUGGUUAUCGGGCAUGAUUAGAAAUCAUGUGGGCUUUGCUUACGCAUGUUCGAAUCAUGCCACUCAUG
rnacentral:tRNA from 1 species